UACGUAGGGUGCAAGCGUUGUCCGGAAUUAUUGGGCGUAAAGAGCUCGUAGGCGGUUUGUCGCGUCGACUGUGAAAACCCGCGGCUCAACCGUGUGGUCUGCAGUCGAUACGGGCAGGCUAGAGUUCGGUAGGGGAGACUGGAAUUCCUGGUGUAGCGGUGAAAUGCGCAGAUAUCAGGAGGAACACCGGUGGCGAAGGCGGGUCUCUGGGCCGAUACUGACGCUGAGGAGCGAAAGCGUGGGGAGCGAACAGG
rnacentral:rRNA from 1 species